rnacentral:rRNA from 1 species
GACAGAGGGGGCAAGCGUUGCUCGGAAUUACUGGGCGUAAAGGGCGCGUAGGCGGGAUGGCAAGUCGGUCGUGAAAUCCCUCGGCUCAACCGAGGAACGUCGAUCGAUACUGCUGUUCUUGAGGAUUGCAGAGGAGACUGGAAUUCCCGGUGUAGCGGUGAAAUGUGUAGAGAUCGGGAGGAACACCGGUGGCGAAGGCGGGUCUCUGGGCAGUAACUGACGCUGAGGCACGAAGGCCAGGGGAGCAAACGGG